GCAGCUUCAUCAGUUUUACAUGAAGAUUUGUGUGGAGUUUUGCAGUUCAAGAAGGUACUGGACAAUGAUAAUGGGUCAUUUUCCCCCUACUUAAACGCCCUAGGGCUUUCCCUUGUGUUUUGCCAUCCAGUACUGUAGAGUCAAGGCUGUGAUCAGUCUGGCUAUGUUAUACAAGUUAUUAGAGUUUUUAAUCUACAUGAAUUCUCAUGCAAAUUUUUCUUUACCCUGUUAAAUCAUGUUUUCCAAAGUGGGUCAUGGCUGAGUCUCUUUUUAGUUUAUUAGGCUGAAAUAUAGUGAAGUUUUAAAAUUUGCUUCUCUGUUAUUUUAUUUUUAUAGUUACCUUUAGCUACAUGAUUAUUACUUCUUUGCCAUGUGUUCUGAUUUUUCUGUGCACAUACAAUUGCUAAUCUAGAAAUGAUUUUUCUUUAUAUUGUAACUAUCAUUUUGUGUUACUUUUAUUUGCAUUCUAGGAAAUUGUCAUGAUUACACAUUGUGGUUUUAAUUUUUCUAAUAUCAAUUUUGCCAUUUAAAACUGUCGAUGCAGUUUUAAAUAUUCUUAUCAUAUUGGGUCCAUUAAUACCAUAUAAGAACUAAAAUGUAUUUUAGAAUUAAAAUACUGUGCUCCAGAGAGCAAUUUGGAGAUAAUAGUUAUCAAAAAGUUCUAAGGAGAAGAUAGAUAUACCUAUGCAAUGCUAAUGAUGAAUGGGAUGUAUCCAAUAACACAAAAAUCAAGAAAUAUCUAUAACUUAUCUCAAACUCCUAACCUGUCUGUUUAGUCUUUACUACUUUCUAAAUUCACCAUCCACGUUUGACUUUUCAAACUAAGGAGACCAUAACACAUAAGCCAAAGGCAAUUUUUGUUUAUAAUCACUUUAUCUCAAGAACGUAGCUUGAAUUUUUAGUGGUGCUGUUCUCAACACAUUGCACCAUAUUCCAAAUGACCAGGAUAUUCUGGAGAACAAGUGAUCAGAUUCAUUCAUUCAACCUGUGAUUCACACAUCCAUUCACAAAACACCCAUGUAUCAGCAUCCUGUACUAUAGGACACUCAACUGGUUCUAAUGCAUACAGAUGUGUAGAGAAAGAAAAAAAUGUGAAAUAAUGAAGCCAAUACUUGAUUAUAACUGUCAGUGAGUUCAUAGUUUACCAAGAGAGAACUACAAGACUAGGUAUGUUAGGAGAGGUUGAGUUUAUUUUCCUCAGUUCUUGUCCAUGCUGCAACCAAGAACUGAAGGGCAGAGACACAGAAGUAAAAGUUUUAUUUGAAUACAUUCCAGAGGAACGGGCUAGAGCGAAGGUAGAUAAAGGCAGGUUUACUUGAAUAAAGCAGAGAGAAAUGAAAAAUGGAGGGAAGGGAAGCUUACUGAACUGCUGCUUGGCUUUAGGGCAUAAUCCCUUGCCAACUCCUAGAGCCAGUGUCACAUGGCAUCCAGUGUCCACUUGAACUGCAUGGUGUGGAAACUGUUAGAAACGGCAUAAAACUAAAUGUGACUUAGUCCCAGAGGUAUUAACAUUUAAACAAAAUGCUAUAUACAAGAAUCCUACAUGUCAGAACAUGUACCAGGGCGUCACUCUGGCUGGGAUGGGGAGAGAAAUUAAGAAAAAUGGCUGUGCAUCACUUCAAAACAAAAAAAAAGAUGCAGAAAAAGUUUUAAACCAAAAUGUUGUUUUAAUUUAAAAAAACUUAAAAAAAAAGUUUUAAGCCAAUAAAAUUAAGACAAAUGUAAAGAAAGCCUAAUGUGGAUAUAACUUGCUUAGGCGACAUCCGGGAAAGAAUGUGAACACUGUAACACUCAGCCAGGGGAACCAGGGAGGGACUCGCAGGCUAAGGAAUAAGUUGCUUGUUGUAACCACCCUGAGUGAGCCUGCUCGCCAGACACCCGAUCCUGCAACACUGUCAUUAAAGCAUCGCUCUGCUGUUCUCUUUGUCUCCAUGUCCACUUACUAAGUUUGGACCAGUGAGCACGUUUCUCGCAGGAACUAAGUCCCUACCAUCCCAGGAUCUGGGGAUGCCCCAGAGCACUUGAUGGAGUGAGAAUAUGUUCUGAGAACUUUCCAGAGACAAAGAAAGGAGAUUUUCAGGCAGGCUAGUAAAGAGCACAGUCAUACAGCUGCAGUCCUGUCCGGGUCACCGGGGCGAUGGGAACUUGCAAGCCCAGAUCAGAGCUCUCAGCAGCCCCUCCCUACUCACCUGGCGUAGGACAGAGAGAGUGACCCACUCAAAGAAAGAUGAUCAAUCACAAUGACAAGCUGGGAUUUUGUCAUCACCGUGGAGUGUUUUGUGCAAUCAAUAAAAUGACAACAUGAAUAGCCUUGUGUACUACAA